UGGGGAAUAUUGCACAAUGGGGGAAACCCUGAUGCAGCGACGCCGCGUGAGUGAAGAAGUAUUUCGGUAUGUAAAGCUCUAUCAGCAGGGAAGAACAUGACGGUACCUGACUAAGAAGCCCCGGCUAACUACGUGCCAGCAGCCGCGGUAAUACGUAGGGGGCAAGCGUUAUCCGGAUUUACUGGGUGUAAAGGGAGCGUAGACGGCAGCGCAAGCCUGGAGUGAAAGGAUGGGGCUCAACCCCAUGACUGCUCUGGGAACUGCGCAGCUAGAGUGCCGGAGGGGCAAGCGGAAUUCCUAGUGUAGCGGUGAAAUGCGUAGAUAUUAGGAGGAACACCAGUGGCGAAGGCGGCUUGCUGGACGGUAACUGACGUUGAGGCUCGAAAGCGUGGGGAGCAAA
rnacentral:rRNA from 1 species